UACGUAGGGGGCUAGCGUUGUCCGGAUUUAUUGGGCGUAAAGAGCGUGUAGGCGGCCAGACAGGUCUGCUGUGAAAACUCGAGGCUCAACCUCGAGAUGUCGGCGGAAACCGUCUGGCUAGAGUCCGGAAGAGGAGAGUGGAAUUCCUGGUGUAGCGGUGAAAUGCGCAGAUAUCAGGAAGAACACCUGUGGCGAAGGCAGCUCUCUGGGACGGUACUGACGCUGAGACGCGAAAGCGUGGGGAGCGAACAGG
rnacentral:rRNA from 1 species